rnacentral:rRNA from 1 species
ACAACGAAGAGUUUGAUCCUGGCUCAGGAUGAACGCUAGCGACAGGCUUAACACAUGCAAGUCGAGGGGCAGCGGGGGUAGCGAUACCCGCCGGCGACCGGCGCACGGGUGAGUAACGCGUAUGCAACUUGCCUAUCAGAGGGGGAUAACCCGGCGAAAGUCGGACUAAUACCGCAUGAAGCAGGGGCCCCGCAUGGGGAUAUUUGCUAAAGAUUCAUCGCUGAUAGAUAGGCAUGCGUUCCAUUAGGCAGUUGGCGGGGUAACGGCCCACCAAACCGACGAUGGAUAGGGGUUCUGAGAGGAAGGUCCCCCACAUUGGUACUGAGACACGGACCAAACUCCUACGGGAGGCAGCAGUGAGGAAUAUUGGUCAAUGGCCGAGAGGCUGAACCAGCCAAGUCGCGUGAGGGAUGAAGGUUCUAUGGAUCGUAAACCUCUUUUAUAAGGGAAUAAAGUGCGGGACGUGUCCCGUUUUGUAUGUACCUUAUGAAUAAGGAUCGGCUAACUCCGUGCCAGCAGCCGCGGUAAUACGGAGGAUCCGAGCGUUAUCCGGAUUUAUUGGGUUUAAAGGGUGCGUAGGCGGCCUUUUAAGUCAGCGGUGAAAGUCUGUGGCUCAACCAUAGAAUUGCCGUUGAAACUGGGGGGCUUGAGUAUGUUUGAGGCAGGCGGAAUGCGUGGUGUAGCGGUGAAAUGCAUAGAUAUCACGCAGAACCCCGAUUGCGAAGGCAGCCUGCCAAGCCAUUACUGACGCUGAUGCACGAAAGCGUGGGGAUCAAACAGGAUUAGAUACCCUGGUAGUCCACGCAGUAAACGAUGAUCACUAGCUGUUUGCGAUACACUGUAAGCGGCACAGCGAAAGCGUUAAGUGAUCCACCUGGGGAGUACGCCGGCAACGGUGAAACUCAAAGGAAUUGACGGGGGCCCGCACAAGCGGAGGAACAUGUGGUUUAAUUCGAUGAUACGCGAGGAACCUUACCCGGGUUUGAACGCAUUCGGACCGAGGUGGAAACACCUUUUCUAGCAAUAGCCGUUUGCGAGGUGCUGCAUGGUUGUCGUCAGCUCGUGCCGUGAGGUGUCGGCUUAAGUGCCAUAACGAGCGCAACCCUUGCCACUAGUUACUAACAGGUAAAGCUGAGGACUCUGGUGGGACUGCCAGCGUAAGCUGCGAGGAAGGCGGGGAUGACGUCAAAUCAGCACGGCCCUUACAUCCGGGGCGACACACGUGUUACAAUGGCGUGGACAAAGGGAGGCCACCUGGCGACAGGGAGCGAAUCCCCAAACCACGUCUCAGUUCGGAUCGGAGUCUGCAACCCGACUCCGUGAAGCUGGAUUCGCUAGUAAUCGCGCAUCAGCCAUGGCGCGGUGAAUACGUUCCCGGGCCUUGUACACACCGCCCGUCAAGCCAUGGGAGCCGGGGGUACCUGAAGUCCGUAACCGAAAGGAUCGGCCUAGGGUAAAACUGGUGACUGGGGCUAAGUCGUAACAAGGUAGCCGUACCGGAAGGUGCGGCUGGAACACCUCCUUU